rnacentral:rRNA from 1 species
UACGUAGGCAGCAAGCGUUGUUCGGAGUUACUGGGCGUAAAGGGUGCGUAGGCGGCUUUUUAAGUUUGGUGUGAAAUCUCCCGGCUCAACUGGGAGGGUGCGCCGAAUACUGAGAGGCUAGAGUGUGGGAGAGGAAAGUGAUUCCUGGUGUAGCGGUGAAAUGCGUAGAUAUCAGGAGGAACACCGGUGGUGUAAACGGCUUUCUGGACCAUAACUGACGCUGAGGCACGAAAGCGUGGGUAGCAAACAGG